rnacentral:rRNA from 1 species
GAUGAACGCUGGCGGCGUGCCUAAUACAUGCAAGUCGAGCGAACGGACGAGAAGCUUGCUUCUCUGAUGUUAGCGGCGGACGGGUGAGUAACACGUGGAUAACCUACCUAUAAGACUGGGAUAACUUCGGGAAACCGGAGCUAAUAGCGGAUGAUAUUUUGCACCGCAUGGUUCAAAAGUGAAAGACGGUCUUGCUGUCACUUAUAGAUGGUUCCGCGCUGCAUUAGCUAGUUGGUAAGGUAACGGGUUACCAAGGCAACGAUGCAUAGCCGACCUGAGAGGCGGAUCGGCCACACGGGAGCGUGGACGCGGUCAAGACGCCUACGGGAGGCAGCAGUAGGGAAUCUUCCGCAAUGGUCGAAAGCCUGACGGAGCAACGCCGCGUGAGUUAUGAAGGUCUUCCGAUCGUAAAACUCUGUUAUUAGGGAAGAACAUAUGUGUAAGUAACUGUGCACAGCUUGACGGUACCUAAUCAGAAAGCCACGGCUAACUACGUG